rnacentral:rRNA from 1 species
AUUGAACGCUGGCGGCAUGCCUUACACAUGCAAGUCGAACGGCAGCACGGGAGCAAUCCUGGUGGCGAGUGGCGAACGGGUGAGUAAUAUAUCGGAACGUGCCCAGUCGUGGGGAUAACGUAGAGAAAUUUACGCUAAUACCGCAUACGAUCUAAGGAUGAAAGCGGGGGACCGUAAGGCCUCGCGCGAUUGGAGCGGCUGAUAUCAGAUUAGGUUGUUGGUGAGGUAAAAGCUCACCAAGCCGACGAUCUGUAGCUGGUUUGAGAGAACGACCAGCCACACUGGGACUGAGACACGGCCCAGACUCCUACGGGAGGCAGCAGUGGGGAAUUUUGGGACAAUGGGCGAAAGCCUGAUCCAGCAAUGCCGCGUGCAGGAAGAAGGCCU